rnacentral:lncRNA from 1 species
UGUAUUCUCAGGUGGAAUGUGGAGCAGGUAAGGAAAGCAUCCUUCAGAACAUCGCUUUGGCUUGUGGUGAUGGAUUACUGAAUCUCUGUUUUGUAAUGGAAUUAAAAUCUUCCAAGGGAUCAGCUCAUUGACUGAUUUAAGAAUCGAUGAGACUUGGUUAUUUAUGGAGUGUGACUCUUCUACUUAUGAUCUUGAAUUGAUUACCCUUAUUAGCUGGAUCUCCUUUGAUCCAGUUUUUAAAAACACUGUCAAGAGAUUUGAAGAAAACUGUCCACCUCCUUGGAAUCCUACCUUGAAACAUUUCCCAGAUGAGAACUACAUUCCCAAGAUCCUUGUUAUUUUUUGUUUUGACGGCAAGCAGGAAUCAUUUCUGCAUAUCUAGAAAGUGAGCUGUGAAGAACAACAUGAGCUGUUUGAAUGACCUCAAAUUUCUGUGAUUUCUUUAUUUAAGUUGUUGCGAGGGUCACACAUUUACCCACAUUAUACUCAGAAGUGAAUUGAUAAUGUAUUGAAUUUUUAAGAGUGUCUCCGUUUAAAAAAAUGGAAAAAGAAAAAAAGAAAAUGUAUCGAAUUUUUAAUAAUUAAGCUAAUCUUUCUUAUAUAUUCCCA